rnacentral:rRNA from 1 species
GUGUCAGCCGCCGCGGUAAUACGGAGGGGGCUAGCGUUGUUCGGAAUUACUGGGCGUAAAGCGCGCGUAGGCGGACCUGCAAGUCGGGGGUGAAAGCCCGAGGCUCAACCUCGGAACUGCCUUCGAUACUGCGGGUCUCGAGUCCGGGAGAGGUGAGUGGAAUUCCUAGUGUAGAGGUGAAAUUCGUAGAUAUUAGGAAGAACACCAGUGGCGAAGGCGGCUCACUGGCCCGGUACUGACGCUGAGGCGCGAAAGCGUGGGGAGCAAACAGGAUUAGAAACCCCUGUAGUCC